UACGGAGGGGGCUAGCGUUGUUCGGAAUUACUGGGCGUAAAGCGCGCGUAGGCGGACCUGCAAGUCGGGGGUGAAAGCCCGAGGCUCAACCUCGGAACUGCCUUUGAUACUGAAGAUCUUGAGUUCGGGAGAGGUGAGUGGAACUGCGAGUGUAGAGGUGAAAUUCGUAGAUAUUCGCAAGAACACCAGUGGCGAAGGCGGCUCACUGGCCCGGUACUGACGCUGAGGUGCGAAAGCGUGGGGAGCAAACAGG
rnacentral:rRNA from 1 species